rnacentral:rRNA from 1 species
UACGUAGGGGGCGAGCGUUGUCCGGAUUUAUUGGGCGUAAAGAGCUCGUAGGCGGCUUGGCAAGUCGGGUGUGAAACCUCCAGGCUCAACCUGGAGACGCCACUCGAUACUGCCAUGGCUAGAGUCCGGUAGGGGACCACGGGAUUCCUGGUGUAGCGGUGAAAUGCGCAGAUAUCAGGAGGAACACCGGUGGCGAAGGCGGGUCUCUGGGCCGUAACUGACGCUGAGGAGCGAAAGCGUGGGGAGCGAACAGG